rnacentral:tRNA from 1 species
AAUGAAGUGCCUGAUGAAAAGGAUUAUUUUGAUGGAAUAACAAUGGUUAAACACCCUUCAUUA